AGGGGUGUAGCUCAACUAGGCAGAGCAGUGGACUUCAAAUCCAUCGGUUGUGGGUUCGAUUCCUGCCACCCCUGCCA
rnacentral:tRNA from 1 species